AAACCUUCAAGCAUUGCUUGGUGUUGGGUGCUGUUCGCUAUUUACGAACUCACCUUGAAUAAAUUGGCAACCAGCAAUUGGGUGUUGGAGCGCAGCACAUUUUGCGUUCUUAGCCACAGUAGCUCGUAUCCAAAAAGCUUAUUUCGAC
rnacentral:misc_RNA from 1 species